UGCUAUUUUUUUUUUCAGCUAUGAUAAUGUUAAUUUCUGCUAAUGUACUUAUUGUAAUAUAGAUAUUCUUCCAUCUCCAAAACUUUCUUGGAAGAUCAAAUCCAAUGGACAUAAAGGAUCUAUCGUGGACUAUUUUGAGGUCAAAUGAAAAGGAUGGGCAUGAUCUUCACACAUCCUCCUAUAUUGAAGCAAUGACUAAGCACAAGCCUGUGGAUGCGCGUGCUGUAAUGCGCAAUUGUUAUCGUCGCAUUGUCCAGCCGGUUACCAAGACAAACCUUAUCAAAGAUAUUGUUUUCAGUAAAGAAUCGAAGUUGCCCUAUCAGAACUAUUGAGGUUUCUAUACCAUGAUCUUGGACAGAGGGAAGAAACCGAUAUCCGUAGCAACGUUCAGGGUCCAUGGUGACAAGGUAGCAGAAGUGCCUCUAUUGGGUACACGUGUUAUGUUGCGCCGUCGAGGAAGGGCAAGUCUUCUCAUGAACAACUUACAAAAGAUUCUUUCCGACAUGGGUGUACAAAAAAUGAUAUUGCCUAUAGGUCCUAAGUUUCUACAGAGUUGGACUACGUCGUAUGGUUUUUCUAAGGCAACAAAUUCAGACAGAUUUGAGCUAUUGGAGUGCCCUUUCAU